rfam:Oryza glaberrima chromosome 11 Oglab11_0061_1, whole genome shotgun sequence.
UAUCCUAGAUUGCUUUCAAGGUCAUUUCUUUAGGGAACCCCAUUCCCAUAAAUUCAGUAUCCAAUGCCGGUUGCUAUAUCUAUGGGAAUAAGGGUUCCCUAAUGAAAUGAUCUUGGACGCAAUCUAGGAGU